GACGAACGCUGGCGGCGUGCUUAACACAUGCAAGUCGAACGGAAAGGCCCUGCUUUUGUGGGGUGCUCGAGUGGCGAACGGGUGAGUAACACGUGUGUAACCUGCCCUUGACUUUGGGAUAACUUCAGGAAACUGGGGCUAAUACAGGAUAGGAUCUCCUGCUGCAUGGUGUGCGUUGGAAAGUUUCGGCGGUUGGGGAUGGACUCGCGGCUUAUCAGCUUGUUGGUGGGGUAGUGGCUUACCAAGCCUUUGACGGGUAGCCGGCCUGGGAGGUUGGCCGGCCACAAUAGGACUGAGAUACGGCCCAGACUCCUACGGGAGGCAGCAGUGGGGAAUAUUGCACAAUGGGCGGAAGCCUGAUGCAGCGGCGCCGCGUGCGGGAUGACGGCCUUCGGGUUGUAAACCACUGUCGCCUGUGACGAAGCGUGAGUGACGGUACUUGGUAAAGAAGCACCGGCUAACUACGUG
rnacentral:rRNA from 1 species